rnacentral:rRNA from 1 species
UCCAGCAGCCAUAUUACCCUGCAACUCACAACUGGCAACCCACCGAAAGCUAAGCAGGUGUGAGCCAGGUCAGUACUUGGAUGAGAGAUCUCCUGGGAAAAACUAAGGUUGCUGCUGGUA